rnacentral:rRNA from 1 species
GAUGAACGCUGGCGGCGUGCCUAAUACAUGCGAGUCGAGCGAACGGACGAGAAGCUUGCUUUUCUGAUGUUAGCGGCGGACGGGUGAGUAACACGUGGAUAACCUACCUAUAAGACUGGGAUAACUUCGGGAAACCGGAGCUAAUACCGGAUAAUAUUUUGAACCGCAUGGUUCAAAAGUGAAAGACGGUCUUGCUGUCACUUAUAGAUGGAUCCGCGCUGCAUUAGCUAGUUGGUAAGGUAACGGCUUACCAAGGCAACGAUGCAUAGCCGACCUGAGAGGGUGAUCGGCCACACUGGAACUGAGACACGGUCCAGACUCCUACGGGAGGCAGCAGUAGGGAAUCUUCCGCAAUGGGCGAAAGCCUGACGGAGCAACGCCGCGUGAGUGAUGAAGGUCUUCGGAUCGUAAAACUCUGUUAUUAGGGAAGAACAUAUGUGUAAGUAACUGCGCACAUCUUGACGGUACCUAAUCAGAAAGCCACGGCUAACUACGCG